rnacentral:tRNA from 1 species
GGGGGUAGCUCAGUGGCAGAGUGAGUGCCUAGCAUGCAUCAGAUCCUGGGUUCAAUCCCCGGUACCUCUA